GAUCCCCAAGAGUUGAACUUAAAGCAAAGAAGUUUCAUUGAGUGAUGAGAAAACAAGACAAUACAGAAAAGGAAAGCUAAACUGACAGAAAUUCAAUGCCACAAAUCUGAUGUCCAAAGGCUAUCAUCUGCCCAGCCAGAGUUGCUUCUGCUCCAUCUUCGUUACUGGACAAGCCAGCAGAAACAGCAUUGAAGUGCUGCUGUGCAGCAGCCAAAGCUUCAGCAUCUUUAUUGCUUGCUUCUUGAAGGCCAUGCAGUCCAUCUGUUAUCUUCUUAACUUCUUUUUCCUUUGCUGCUAAUGCUUUAGAAUCCUUUCAGAAGAAUGUCAAAGUGAAAAGGUAUUUAAGAAAACAAUUUUCAAC
rnacentral:lncRNA from 1 species